AUUGAACGCUGGCGGCAGGCCUAACACAUGCAAGUCGAACGGUAACAGGAAACAGCUUGCUGUUUCGCUGACGAGUGGCGGACGGGUAAGUAAUGUCUGGGAAACUGCCUGAUGGAGGGGGAUAACUACUGGAAACGGUAGCUAAUACCGCAUAACGUCGCAAGACCAAAGAGGGGGACCCCCGGGCCUCUUGCCAUCGGAUGGGCCCAGAUGGGAUUAGCUUGUUGGUGGGGUAACGGCUCCCCAAGGCGACGAUCCCUAGCUGUUCUGAGAGGAUGACCAGCCACACUGGAACUGAGACACGGUCCAGACUCCUACGGGAGGCAGCAGUGGGGAAUAUUGCACAAUGGGCGCAAGCCUGAUGCAGCCAUGCCGCGUGUAUGAAGAAGGCCUUCGGGUUGUAAAGUACUUUCAGCUGGGAGGAAGGGAGUAAAGUUAAUACCUUUGCUCAUUGACGUUACCCGCAGAAGAAGCACCGGCUAACUCCGUG
rnacentral:rRNA from 1 species